GACGAACGCUGGCGGCGUGCCUAAUACAUGCAAGUCGAACGAGAGCGCCCGGUUCUUGCCCUAGUCAAUCUAGUGGCGAACGGGUGAGUAACACGUGGUUAACCUGCCCAUCAGAGGUGGAUCACAUCCGGUAACUGUUGCUCAAACCGCAUACGUCUUCUAGCCGCAUGGCUUGAAGAGUAUAUGAGGCGCAAGCUUCCUCUCAUGCAUGGACCCGCGGUUCAUUAGCUAGUUGGUGAGGUAACGGCUCACCAAGGCCGUGAUGCAUAGCCGACCUGAGAGGGUGAUGGGCAACAGUGGGAGUGAGAGACGGCACAAACACCGAGGGGAGGCAGAAGUAGGGAAGCGUCAGAGAAGGAGGGAAGACUGAAGGAGAAACGAAGCGUGAGUGCAGAAGGGUUGCGGAGCGUAAAACCCUGUUGUGAGAGAAGAACAAUUGCGAGAGGAACUGAGAGCGCCGUGACGGUAUCUAAACAGAAAGCCACGGCUAACUACGUG
rnacentral:rRNA from 1 species